rnacentral:tRNA from 1 species
GCCGCUGUAGCUCAGUUGGUAGAGCAAGGGACUGAAAAUCCCUGUGUCAUCGGUUCGAUUCCGAUUGGCGGCA